rnacentral:rRNA from 1 species
ACAUGCAAGUCGAGCGGCAGCACAGGAGAGCUUGCUCUCUGGGUGGCGAGUGGCGGACGGGUGAGGAAUACAUCGGAAUCUACUCUGUCGUGGGGGAUAACGUAGGGAAACUUACGCUAAUACCGCAUACGACCUACGGGUGAAAGCAGGGGACCUUCGGGCCUUGCGCGAUUGAAUGAGCCGAUGUCGGAUUAUCUAGUUGGCGGGGUAAAGGCCCACCAAGGCGACGAUCCGUAGCUGGUCUGAGAGGAUGAUCAGCCACACUGGAACUGAGACACGGUCCAGACUCCUACGGGAGGCAGCAGUGGGGAAUAUUGGACAAUGGGCGCAAGCCUGAUCCAGCCAUACCGCGUGGGUGAAGAAGGCCUUCGGGUUGUAAAGCCCUUUUGUUGGGAAAGAAAUCCAGCUGGCUAAUACCCGGUUGGGAUGACGGUACCCAAAGAAUAAGCACCGGCUAACUUCGUGCCAGCAGCCGCGGUAAUACGAAGGGUGCAAGCGUUACUCGGAAUUACUGGGCGUACAGCGUGCGUAGGUGGUCGUU